rnacentral:rRNA from 1 species
CUGGGAUAACUCCGGGAAACCGGGGCUAAUACCGGAUAACAUUUUGAACCGCAUGGUUCGAAAUUGAAAGGCGGCUUCGGCUGUCACUUAUGGAUGGACCCGCGUCGCAUUAGCUAGUUGGUGAGGUAACGGCUCACCAAGGCAACGAUGCGUAGCCGACCUGAGAGGGUGAUCGGCCACACUGGGACUGAGACACGGCCCAGACUCCUACGGGAGGCAGCAGUAGGGAAUCUUCCGCAAUGGACGAAAGUCUGACGGAGCAACGCCGCGUGAGUGAUGAAGGCUUUCGGGUCGUAAAACUCUGUUGUUAGGGAAGAACAAGUGCUAGUUGAAUAAGCUGGCACCUUGACGGUACCUAACCAGAAAGCCACGGCUAACUACGUGCCAGCAGCCGCGGUAAUACGUAGGUGGCAAGCGUUAUCCGGAAUUAUUGGGCGUAAAGCGCGCGCAGGUGGUUUCUUAAGUCUGAUGUGAAA